GUGCUCGCUUCAGCAGCACAUACACUAAAACUGGAAUGAUACAGAGAUUAGUAUGGCCCCUGCACAAGAAUGACACACAAAUUUGUGAAGCGUUCCAUAUAUAU